rnacentral:rRNA from 1 species
GUUGACCUCGGAUCAGGUAGGAAUACCCGGCCCAA